AACGAACGCUGGCGGCAUGCCUAACACAUGCAAGUCGAACGAGACCUUCGGGUCUAGUGGCGCACGGGUGCGUAACGCGUGGGAACCUGCCCUUAGGUUCGGAAUAACUCCCCGAAAGGGGUGCUAAUACCGGAUAAUGUCUUCGGACCAAAGAUUUAUCGCCUUUGGAUGGGCCCGCGUUGGAUUAGCUAGUUGGUAGGGUAAAAGCCUACCAAGGCGACGAUCCAUAGCUGGUCUGAGAGGAUGAUCAGCCACACUGGGACUGAGACACGGCCCAGACUCCUACGGGAGGCAGCAGUGGGGAAUAUUGGAGAGGGGGCGAAAGCCUGAGGGAGCAAUGCCGCGUGAGUGAUGAAGGCGUGAGGGUUGUAAAGCUCUUUUACCCGGGAUGAUAAUGACAGUACAGGGAGAAUAAGCUCCGGCUAACUCCGUG
rnacentral:rRNA from 1 species